rnacentral:rRNA from 1 species
UGAGGAAUAUUGGUCAAUGGGCGAGAGCCUGAACCAGCCAAGUCGCGUGAAGGAAGACAGUCCUAAGGAUUGUAAACUUCUUUUAUACGGGAAUAACGGGCGAUACGAGUAUUGCAUUGAAUGUACCGUAAGAAUAAGCAUCGGCUAACUCCGUGCCAGCAGCCGCGGUAAUACGGAGGAUGCGAGCGUUAUCCGGAUUUAUUGGGUUUAAAGGGUGCGUAGGUUGUUCGGUAAGUCAGCGGUGAAACCUGAGCGCUCAACGUUCAACCUGCCGUUGAAACUGCCGGGCUUGAGUUCAGUGGCGGCAGGCGGAAUUCGUGGUGUAGCGGUGAAAUGCAUAGAUAUCACGAGGAACUCCGAUUGCGAAGGCAGCUUGCCAUACUGCGACUGACACUGAAGCACGAAGGCGUGGGUAUCAAACAGG